GUGCAGAAUCAAUUUUAGCACAACAUGUACAUUGAGAGCAGUUCCACUUGUCAGCUGGUCCCUAGAAAACCAUACAGGCCACGCUGUGAGCAUUAUAAAUGUCAGCCGCAGACUGAGAUAUUUGAGCUUGACUCUGCCCCAACUAUCACCCCACAUUUGAGGUGAUACUUUCUGAUGAAGCUGAAGAACUCACACUGGGACUUUUGGAUGAACAUGACGAGGAGGUGUGGGCGUCUCGCCAGGUCUUUCUUACAGGUUACACGAGCCAAGAAGCCAAUUCACCCCAAAUGCUGAAAACAGCUGCUGACUUUGUGGAUAAAUAAAAACCCAAUUUAAUACAGAAAGUUUCUUCAGUAAUGGAGAUUGCAGAUGGUCUCCUAUCCAAGAAAAUGAUUAAUGGUGAAAUAUACAGUACAAUCAGUGCAGCAGCUACAUCACAUGAGAAAAUGAGAAUCUUGUACACCAACUGCCUCACCAUCAGAGCUGUGAAAGAAGAAUUUUAUACAAUUCUAAAGAAGAAAAUUCCUCACUUAGUAGAUGAGCUGGAGAAUGGGUCAAGAUAUGCUUAGAGGAACCUCAAAGAGAAAGUGGUAGCUCAGAUGUUAAGGUUCUAGCUCACCCAGUAUCACCAAGUUGCCACUUUUGGGGCAUUAAACAUCUGUGCUCCAGUGGCGCUGUCUCAUGGCUUUUCAACAUCACUGGGAUAU